AGUGAACGCUGGCGGUAGGCCUAACACAUGCAAGUCGAACGGCAGCACAGUAAGAGCUUGCUCUUACGGGUGGCGAGUGGCGGACGGGUGAGGAAUACAUCGGAAUCUACUUUUUCGUGGGGGAUAACGUAGGGAAACUUACGCUAAUACCGCAUACGACCUACGGGUGAAAGCAGGGGAUCUUCGGACCUUGCGCGAUUGAAUGAUCCGAUGUCGGAUUAGCUAGUUGGCGGGGUAAAGGCCCACCAAGGCGACGAUCCGUAGCUGGUCUGAGAGGAUGAUCAGCCACACUGGAACUGAGACACGGUCCAGACUCCUACGGGAGGCAGCAGUGGGGAAUAUUGGACAAUGGGCGCAAGCCUGAUCCAGCCAUACCGCGUGGGUGAAGAAGGCCUUCGGGUUGUAAGGCCCUUUUGUUGGGAAAGAAAAGCAGCAGGUUAAUACCCCGCUGUUCCGACGGUACCCAAAGAAUAAGCACCGGCUAACUUCGUG
rnacentral:rRNA from 1 species